UCUGUGGGUAAUCACCAGCUUAACUGGUUGAAUUCUGCAGAGACUGCCAGACUAGCCAUUGGGAGAGGUGUGGGGUACUCUAGGGGUAGGGGUAAAAUCCUGUCAUCCUUAGAGGACCACCAGUUGCGAAGGCGCCACACUGGAACGGAUCCGACGGUCAGGGACGAAGCCUAGGGGCACGAACCGGAUUAGAUACCCGGGUAGUCCUAGGUGUAAACGCUGUGAACUUGGUGUCGGGAGUCCGCAAUGGGCCCCCGGUGCCGGAGUGAAGAUGUUAAGUUCACUGCCUGGGGAGUACGGUCGCAAGGCUGAAACUUAAAGGAAUUGGCGGGGGAGCACUGCAACGGGAGGAGCGUGCGGUUUAAUUGGAUUCAACGCCGGAAAACUCACCAGGGCCGACUGUUAGAUGAAGACCAGUGUAACGAGCUUGUCGGAUUUUCAGAGAGGUGGUGCAUGGCCGUCGUCAGUUCGUACUGUAAAGCGUUCUGUUAAGUCAGAUAACGAACGAGACCCGCAUCUCUAUUUGCCACCCUUUUCUCCGGAAAAGGCGCACUAUAGAGAGACCGCUGGUGCGAAACCAGAGGAAGGCGCGGGCAACGACAGGUCAGUAUGCCCCGAAUGUUUUGGGCUACACGCGCGCUACAAAGGACAGGACAAUGGGAAGCCAGGCCGAGAGGUCGAGCUAACCCGAAACCCGUUCAUAGUUCGGAUCGAGGGCUGUAACUCGCCCUCGUGAAGCUGGAUUCCGUAGUAAUCGUGUUUCAACAUAGCACGGUGAAUAUGUCCCUGCUCCUUGCAC
rnacentral:rRNA from 1 species